rnacentral:lncRNA from 1 species
AAACCUUUGCAGUUUCAAUAAAAAAUCAAAAAUCAUAACCCGUACAUUUCCACCCAACUUUUUUUUUUUUUUUUUUUUUGAGAGAUAGGUAUAUAGCACGCUACCCGCUUCGUUUAUUUCAUUUAGAAAUAAACUUAGCUGGAACUGUGAAUCAACUAGAAUUCGAACUUGGGUCUCGGGUACCAACCACCAAGUCCUUUACCACUUGCUCUAGGGACGAUCGAUAUUUCCACCCAACUUUUAAUCCAUUAGUAUUAACAAU